GACGAACGCUGGCGGCGUGCUUAACACAUGCAAGUCGAACGGAAAGGCCCUGCUUUUGUGGGGUGCUCGAGUGCCGCACGGGUGAGUAUCACGUGUGUAACCUGUCCUUGACUUUGGGAUAACUUCAGGAAACUGGGGCUAAUACCGGACAUAAGCUCCUGCUGCACGGUGGGGGUUGGAAAAUUUCGGCGGUUGGGGAUGGACUCGCGGCUUAUCAGCUUGUUGGUGGGGUAGUGGCUUACCAAGUCUUUGACGGGUAGCCGGCCUGAGAGGGUGACCGGCCACAUUGGGACUGAGAUACGGCCCAGACUCCUACGGGAGGCAGCAGUGGGGAAUAUUGCACAAUGGGCGGAAGCCUGAUGCAGCAACGCCGCGUGCGGGAUGACGGCCUUCGGGUUGUAAACCGCUUUGGCCUGUGACGAAGCGUGAGUGACGGUAAUGGGUAAAGAAGCACCGGCUAACUACGUG
rnacentral:rRNA from 1 species